AUUGAACGCUGGCGGCAUGCUUUACACAUGCAAGUCGAACGGCAGCGGGGGCUUCGGCCUGCCGGCGAGUGGCGAACGGGUGAGUAAUGCAUCGGAACGUGCCCAUGUCGUGGGGGAUAACGUAUCGAAAGGUACGCUAAUACCGCAUACGUCCUGAGGGAGAAAGCGGGGGAUCUUCGGACCUCGCGCGAUUGGAGCGGCCGAUGUCGGAUUAGCUAGUAGGUGAGGUAAAGGCUCACCUAGGCGACGAUCCGUAGCGGGUCUGAGAGGAUGAUCCGCCACACUGGGACUGAGACACGGCCCAGACUCCUACGGGAGGCAGCAGUGGGGAAUUUUGGACAAUGGGCGCAAGCCUGAUCCAGCCAUGCCGCGUGAGUGAAGAAGGCCUUCGGGUUGUAAAGCUCUUUCGGCCGGGAAGAAAUCGUGUUCUCUAACAUAGGACAUGGAUGACGGUACCGGACUAAGAAGCACCGGCUAACUACGUGCCAGCCGCCGCCGUAACAC
rnacentral:rRNA from 1 species